CUGGAGGAAGGUGGGGAUGACGUCAAGUCAUCAUGGCCCUUACGAGUAGGGCUACACACGUGCUACAAUGGCGUAUACAAAGAGAAGCGACCUCGCGAGAGCAAGCGGACCUCAUAAAGUACGUCGUAGUCCGGAUUGGAGUCUGCAACUCGACUCCAUGAAGUCGGAAUCGCUAGUAAUCGUAGAUCAGAAUGCUACGGUGAAUACGUUCCCGGGCCUUGUACACACCGCCCGUCACACCAUGGGAGUGGGUUGCAAAAGAAGUAGGUAGCUUAACCUUCGGGAGGGCGCUUACCACUUUGUGAUUCAUGACUGGGGUGAAGUCGUAACAAGGUAACCAAGGGCGAAUUCUG
rnacentral:rRNA from 1 species